UACGUAGGGGGCAAGCGUUGUCCGGAUUUAUUGGGCGUAAAGAGCGUGUAGGCGGCUAGGUAGGUCCGUUGUGAAAACUCGAGGCUCAACCUCGAGACGCCGGUGGAAACCAUCUAGCUAGAGUCCGGAAGAGGAGAAUGGAAUUCCCGGUGUAGCGGUGAAAUGCGCAGAUAUCGGGAGGAACACCAGAGGCGAAGGCGGCGACCUGGACAGGUACUGACACUCAACUACGAAAGCGUGGGGAGCAAACAGG
rnacentral:rRNA from 1 species